rnacentral:rRNA from 1 species
GUGAGGAAUAUUGCACAAUGGGCGAAAGCCUGAUGCAGCAACGCCGCGUGAGGGACGACGGCCUUCGGGUUGUAAACCUCUUUUAGUAGGGAAGAAGCGAAAGUGACGGUACCUGCAGAAAAAGCACCGGCUAACUACGUGCCAGCAGCCGCGGUAAUACGUAGGGUGCAAGCGUUAUCCGGAAUUAUUGGGCGUAAAGAGCUCGUAGGCGGUCUGUCGCGUCUGCUGUGAAAACUGGAGGCUCAACCUCCAGCCUGCAGUGGGUACGGGCAGACUAGAGUGCGGUAGGGGAGAUUGGAAUUCCUGGUGUAGCGGUGGAAUGCGCAGAUAUCAGGAGGAACACCGAUGGCGAAGGCAGAUCUCUGGGCCGUAACUGACGCUGAGGAGCGAAAGCGUGGGGAGCGAACAGGAUUAGAAACCCCGGUAGUCC